rnacentral:rRNA from 4 species
GCGGCGGACGGGUUAGUAACGCGUGGGAACGUGCCCUCUUCUACGGAAUAGCCUCGGGAAACUGAGAUUAAUGCCGUAUACGCCCGAAAGGGGAAAGAUUUAUCGGAGGAGGAUCGGCCCGCGUUGGAUUAGGUAGUUGGUGGGGUAAUGGCCUACCAAGCCGACGAUCCAUAGCUGGUUUGAGAGGAUGAUCAGCAACACUGGGACUGAGACACGGCCCAGACUCCUACGGGAGGCAGCAGUGGGGAAUCUUGGACAAUGGGGGAAACCCUGAUCCAGCCAUGCCGCGUGAUCGAUGAAGGCCUUAGGGUUGUAAAGAUCUUUCAGCGAGGAAGAUAAUGACGGUACUCGCAGAAGAAGCCCCGGCUAACUCCGUGCCAGCAGCCGCGGUAAUACGGAGGGGGCUAGCGUUGUUCGGAAUUACUGGGCGUAAAGCGCACGUAGGCGGACCAGUCAGUUAGAGGUGAAAGCCCAGGGCUCAACCCUGGAACUGCCUUUAAUACUGCUGGUCUAGAGGUCGAGAGAGGUGAGUGGAAUUCCGAGUGUAGAGGUGAAAU